rnacentral:lncRNA from 1 species
CUCAGAUAUUUGAACACCUGAUCAAAAUUUAUUCUGGCUGAGUGUGGUGAUGCAUGCCUAUAAUCUCGGCACUCUGGGAGACUGAGGCAGGAGGAUCACAAGUUCGAGCCCAACUUGGCCAACUUAGUGACUUAGUAAGACACUUCACAGAAAGAAAAAAAAAUAGGAUUUGGGAUGUAGUUCUGUGUGAAGGUCCUGGGUUUAAUUCUCAGUGUGAAAAAACAAUAACAAGUUGUGCGAAACGUGCCAAAUCAGCCUGGGCCCGGCAGCAAUCCACUGGACACCCCCCUCCCCCUGUACAGCCACCUGGUUCCACACUACAAAGACGCAGAGGACACCAGACCACCAGACCACUGUACUGGAAACACAAAACCAAGAGAAUGGUAACCUUGUGGAGAAAGUUUCUUCUCACAUAAAAUGAGGUGACAAAGAGGACAAACAUCAGACUUCUUGUUUGAUGGAAGGACAAGAGGAAUGUGAACAUUGUUCCUAUGACAAAAGAUGGGCAAGCCGGGGAACCAGGAUGAAAUGCAACAAACAAACAAAUAAGAAAGACCGAGUUUUCCUGAUUCAAUCGGCCUAUUUCUUUUACUCAAGAGUCUGUGUGGAAGUGAUAGAUAAUUAUUCUUCCAAACAGUUGCUUUUCACUUCCAUGAUGCAGUGCAGCUGGGACUAGACCGCCCCGUCAAAAAUUCCAUUUUUCAGCAGAACCACAUCCUCAUAAAUGAUGUGAUGGCACUUGUUUUCUACAAUGGCUUAUAAGCAGAACGAGUCACUUCUCACCUCUAGGAAUUAAUCCAGUUCCUCCUGGGUUUAAAGAAUGAAGACAAAGACCACAGCAUCCAAGAAAUGAAACAUUUAUUAAGACUGGGAAAGCUGUUUUUAAGUGAUAUAAUGACAGAUCCAACAGAUACAGUAGAUUCCAUGCUCUUGUGCGUGAUGAGCAAAGAAUUGGACACAUUCAUCCAGAAGCAGAAGAAAAACAACUACAUCUUUUGAAGAUGACGGGGAGAAGUGAGCAGUGUGGUCUGCAUGAACAGAAAAAUGGGGCCAGGACAACGGGGAAGUCAAAAGCACUACAGGGUGGCAGAUAACUGCAUCAUGACAGAAGGAACAAACAGCCUCAUCUUCAAUGGGAGCAGAAAGAAAAAGAUAGGUGAGGCAGAGUCACUCCUCUUAUAACAAUGCUCUUGCAAGAACUGAACGGAUCACACAAGAACUACUUCAUACUUCCACCAACCCAAGGAUAUCACACUAACCCCCAUAUUCCAAAGGUUCCUCCAUUUCCCACUAGCACCACAAGGUGGACCAAGCCUUCAAUCACAGUGGGCCAUUAGGGCCCUGAAACUUACCUUCAAACCAUAACACUUACCAAGACUUCCUGUCUUACCCUCUGUACAUUAAGUUGGGCUACAGCUCCUUGGUAUUUUCUGUGGGCUGGGGCCUGUGCCACGGUCGUUGGAAGGGAGAUACUGUCAUUUUAUAUCAGAGGGAAGUGGGCCU